rfam:Wallemia sebi CBS 633.66 unplaced genomic scaffold WALSEscaffold_7, whole genome shotgun sequence.
GGUGAAAUGCGUUAGUCUGGUCCAUACGGUGUGACUUAAGAAAGAGCUUCAAUUCGAAGUGAUUUCAGCCACCCCGGCUGUGUGUUGAGUUCACAUGGCUUAGCCGUCCUGGGUUCGAAUCCCAGUUUCACCA